ACCAGUUAUUUACACAAAACUCUAGGGGGUGUGGUAUACGGCAGGGCCAACCCCAUGGGUAAGGGCAGUGCCUGGACUCAGAUCUUAACUGCGGUACAGUGAUCAUUUAGAACAAACCCCCGAGGAGCCUUAUGGCUUUUAUAAACUGGUUACCAACGUAAUUAGAGCAGUUCAAUUAAUAUAUGUCAUACCUAUUGUAUAAGGUCUGAUUUACCAUGGCUUUCAGCAAAUCAUAAUUCAGGGCUCAAACCAUCCAGUUUAUAUGGUAUACGGUCUGUGUAUUGUAAAGUGGGACUGACACAUGGUAGGGUCUGUGUAUUGUAAAGUGGGACUGACACAUAUGGUAUAAGGUCUGUGUAUUGUAAAGUGGGACUGACACAUAUGGUAUAAGGUCUGUGUAUUGUAAAGUGGGACUGACACAUAUGGUAUAAGGUCUGUGUAUUGUAAAGUGGGACUGACACAUAUGGUAUAAGGUCUGUGUAUUGUAAAGUGGGACUGACACAUAUGGUAUAAGGUCUGUGUAUUGUAAAGUGGGACUGACACAUAUGGUAUAAGGUCUGUGUAUUGUAAAGUGGGACUGACACAUAUGGUAUAAGGUCUGUGUAUUGUAAAGUAGGACGAACACAUAUGGUAUACGGUCUGUGUAUUGUAAAGUGGGACUGACACAUAUGGUAUAAGGUCUGUGUAUUGUAAAGUGGGACUGACACAUAUGGUAUAAGGUCUGUGUAUUGUAAAGUGGGACUGACACAUAUGGUAUAAGGUCUGUGUAUUGUAAAGUGGGACUGACACAUAUGGUAUAAGGUCUGUGUAUUGUAAAGUGGGACUGACACAUAUGGUAUAAGGUCUGUGUAUUGUAAAGUGGGACUGACACAUAUGGUAUAAGGUCUGUGUAUUGUAAAGUGGGACUGACACAUAUGGUAUAAGGUCUGUGUAUUGUAAAGUGGGACUGACACAUAUGGUAUAAGGUCUGUGUAUUGUAAAGUGGGACUGACACAUAUGGUAUAAGGUCUGUGUAUUGUAAAGUGGGACUGACACAUAUGGUAUAAGGUCUGUGUAUUGUAAAGUGGGACUGACACAUAUGGUAUAAGGUCUGUGUAUUGUAAAGUGGGACUGACACAUAUGGUAUAAGGUCUGUGUAUUGUAAAGUGGGACUGACACAUAUGGUAUAAGGUCUGUGUAUUGUAAAGUGGGACUGACACAUAUGGUAUAAGGUCUGUGUAUUGUAAAGUGGGACUGACACAUAUGGUAUAAGGUCUGUGUAUUGUAAAGUGGGACUGACACAUAUGGUAUAAGGUCUGUGUAUUGUAAAGUGGGACUGACACAUAUGGUAUAAGGUCUGUUUAUUGUAAAGUGGGACUGACACAUAUGGUAUAAGGUCUGUGUAUUGUAAAGUGGGACUGACACAUAUGGUAUAAGGUCUGUGUAUUGUAAAGUGGGACUGACACAUAUGGUAUAAGGUCUGUGUAUUGUAAAGUGGGACUGACACAUAUGGUAUAAGGUCUGUGUAUUGUAAAGUGGGACUGACACAGACUUGACAAACUUUAAUGCGGUGCCAGAACAGGC